rnacentral:rRNA from 1 species
CCUACGGGUGGCUGCAGUUAGGAAUCUUGGGCAAUGGGCGCAAGCCUGACCCAGCCAUGCCGCGUGUGUGAAGAAGGCCUUCGGGUUGUAAAGCACUUUCAGCGGUGAAGCGUUAACCACAGAAGAAGCACCGGCUAACUCCGUGCCAGCAGCCGCGGUAAUACGGAGGGUGCGAACGUUAAUCGGAAUCACUGGGCGUAAAGCGCGCGUAGGCGGUCUGUUAAGUGGGAUGUGAAAUCCCCGGGCUUAACCUGGGAAUUGCAUUUCAAACUGGCCGACUAGAGUACGGUAGAGGGAGGUAGAAUUUCCUGUGUAGCGGUGAAAUGCGUAGAUAUAGGAAGGAAUACCAGUGGCGAAGGCGGCCUCCUGGUCAUACUGACGCUGAGGCGCGAAAGCGUGGGGAGCAAACAGGAUUAGAUACCCUUGUAGUC